rnacentral:rRNA from 1 species
AUGGAUCCCUUCUCGAAGAAGCGCAAGCCGGACGAGAACGGCGCGGUCGCCGCCUCCCCCGCCGCCGGUGCUGCCGCGCUCGGGCUCACGCGCGAUGACGUCCUGCGUCUCCUCGACCCGCUGUCCCGCGACCAGCUCGCCGACAUCGCCGCCGCCGCGGCGCUCGCCUCCGGGGUCGCGCUCGAUGCCGUGCGCGCCGCCGCCGACCGCGACCCGGCCCUGCGCAAGCUCUUCGUCCGGGGCCUCGGCUGGGAGACCAACUCCGACUCGCUCCGCGCCAUCUUCUCCGCCUACGGCGACCUCGAGGAGGCCGUGGUCAUCAGCGACAAGACCACCGGCCGCUCCAAGGGCUACGGAUUCGUCACCUUCCGCCACGCAGACUCCGCCCUCCUCGCUCUUAAGGAACCAUCCAAGAAGAUCGACGCCCGCGUGACCGUCACUCAACUCGCGGCCGCUGGCGCGGCCGGUGGGCCGUCCGGUGGAACUACCGGCGCAGGUGGUGUCCCUUCAGCAGACGUCUCACUCCGCAAGAUCUUUGUUGGGAACGUUCCCGCUGACAUGCCAUCAGAGCGCCUCCUCGCGCACUUCGCUUCCUAUGGAGAGAUUGAAGAGGGGCCGCUUGGGUUCGACAAGCUGACGGGCAAGUUCAGGGGCUUUGCGCUCUUUGUGUACAAGACACCUGAGGGGGCGCAGGCCUCGCUAGUGGACUCAACUAAGGUAAUCGAUGGGCAACAGCUCUUGUGCAAGCUAGCCAUCGAGGGGAAGAAGGGGAAGCAGCAACCACAACAAUCUGGGCCUGCCGGGCAACAGCAACCACAGAUGCUCCAGGGUGGCCCGCCGGACAUGACGGGUUCUGGGCUUGGGCUAGGUGGACCACAGAUGGGUGGGCAAUAUGGUGGCCCUGGGAAUGGUAUGCCAUCGUUUGGUGCAUUUGGUGGUCCCAACCCAUAUGCUAACAUGCCAUCGUCCAUGGGUGGCGGCGGUGGAGCUGGUUUGGGCUCAAUGGGAAAUCAGAUGCAUUCCGGGAUGGGUUCUGCUGGGGCUGGUGCAUUUGGCACCGGCGGGCUGGGUGGUGGUUCAUUUGGGGGCUCAUCUCAGUUUGGUGCUGCUGGUAUGGGGCCUUAUGGUGGUCUAGGCAUGGGUGGGCCUUCCUCACUAUACCGUAUGCAACAGGGCUCAGGUGGGCUGCCCUCAGGCUAUGGCGAGGGUGGAAACUACCCUCUUCCAGGGUCUGGUUUCCGGGGUCAGGACCCUCAAGGGAUGUCACCAGGACCAGGUGGCAGGGGUCCUCCGAUGUACCCCAAUGUGCCACCUUAUUUCUAA